UCAUUGUUCAAUAUAAGCAGCACUGGCAACCGAAAUCCAGCCUGAGAGAGAGGGAGAGAGAGAGAGAGACUUUCCCCCAGCCACCCCCACCCCUUUUUCUUUUUUCUCCAAGGCUGCACUUUGGAAGAGGUGCAGUCAUUCUUCCCCACUCCCCCUACCCUCUCUCCACUCCCCCAACUAUAAAUUCCCUUCUGUAGCAUGCUGCCCUUUUUUAAUCCACAUUUGUGUUUCACAUCAUGUAGAAAGGACAGAAAGUGAGCAGGGAGCGGGGGCUUUUGUCUAUUGUUCUCCUUGUGCUACUUGAGAGAAACUGCAAUCCCAAGACUUAACAGAAUCUAAAAAUGAUGGUUAGCCUUUCAUUGUGAUACAAAUCUGUUCCAGAAAAAAUGGCUAGGCCUCAGCCUAACUGAACUUACAGGCACUUAGAUGGAAUGCAUUUAUUGAAGAAUAUUCAACAAUAACCCAUUUCCUUCAGUACUAAUUGUGUUUAUGUUUUUACUAAUUAAAGCCCAUUGAGAUACUACUGCUGACAAAUACCUAAUUUUAAGGAUGAAAUACUAUAUAUCUUAAUAUGGUAUUCUCUGAGAAGGACUGUCUCAGAAUCAAUAGGACAAAGAAAAUUGUUUUUUACAGUAGGCAGAAUUAGUUUAGUCAUACAGACUUCUUGAUUGAAGAUGCACCUAUCACUGAAGCAUGUCUGAAUAUAUAUGCUGACAAUGUAUUUUGGGUGCUACAUGAUAAUAUCAUGGUAAAAAAUCUGUUAAUUUGUAUGGGGCUUUAUCUUAUCUGAAGAAGCAUGGCAUGGGGUGUACAUUAGCAAAGAAUAUUUUGCAAAGUGUGAGGUUCUCAGGGACAUAUUAAGAUUGGAUUAAAUUAAUUGCAUUAAUUACAUUAUCCUUGUCUGGUUCUUUGGGGUUGUUUUGAUUUGGGGGAGGAGAGAUGAUCAAAGGAUGUUUAAAAUAAGCAAACAUGUAAAAAGAAAAAAGCUUUUUUUUCUUUUUGGCUCCUUGUUUUAUAUCAUUCCUAUCUGCAAAAAUAAACUUGCAAAUUCUGGACUUUCAGUCUAUUCUGGAACCUACUUUCAUCAAAGUGCUUUGCUCAUCUGUGUAUAAAUGAAUAGUUGGGGGUGGGGAAUUAAAAGGGAAAUGAUUCACUUAAACUGUGAAUAGAAAUCAUGUUAAAAUACAUUUUGUUCAUACAACUGUGGAAUAUUGGAUAAGGCAACUGUUUUCCUACCAACACCAAGGUGACAAUCAGCCCACAUUUUUAGAUGGUAUGCAGGCUGUUAUGUGCAAUAUAUGCCUAUCUAUGGAACAAAAGAUUAUUUUAAGUUUACUUAGGCAUGAAAUAGCCACUGAUUUUUACCAGAAGAUGAUUCUAUAAAUCCAGCAUGGUUCCUGUAGUAGUCAAUUAAAUUAGUUUUGUAAAGACAGUUUCUGGACUAGAGCAUAACAUACAACUUAGAACUAUCAAAAUGCAGAAAAUAAAAUGCAGUUGCCCACUUGUCUAGUCCUACUGUUUGUUGUGCAGUGUAACAUAAAUAAAAAUCUUAUUUGAUUGUU